CCCUUAGAUGUUCGGGGCCGCACGCGCGCUACACUGAAGGAAUCAGCACGUCUUUCUCCUUGUCCGAAAGGACUGGGUAACCCGCUGAACCCCCUUCGUGCUAGGGAUUGGGGCUUGUAAUUCUUCCCCAUGAACGAGGAAUUCCCAGUAAGCGCGAGUCAUAAGCUCGCGUUGAUUACGUCCCUGCCCUUUGUACACACCGCCCGUCGCUACUACCGAUUGGAUGGUUUAGUGAGAUCCUCGGAUUGGUCCCGGAGCGGCCUCUGGUCGUGCCGGAGUGCCGAAAAGAAUGUCGAACUUGAUCAUCUAGAGGAAGUAAAAGUCGUAACA
rnacentral:rRNA from 1 species